GACGAACGCUGGCGGCGUGCUUAACACAUGCAAGUCGAACGGAAAGGCCCUGCUUUUGUGUGGUGCUCGAGUGGCGAACGGGUGAGUAACACGUGAGUAACCUGCCCUUGACUUUGGGAUAACUUCAGGAAACUGGGGCUAAUACCGGAUAGGAGCUCCUGCUGCAUGGUGGGGGUUGGAAAGUUUCGGCGGUUGGGGAUGGACUCGCGGCUUAUCAGCUUGUUGGUGGGGUAGUGGCUUACCAAGGCUUUGACGGGUAGCCGGCCUGAGAGGGUGACCGGCCACAUUGGGACUGAGAUACGGCCCAGACUCCUACGGGAGGCAGCAGGGGGGAAUAUUGCACAAUGGGCGGAAGCCUGAUGCAGCAACGCCGCGUGCGGGAUGACGGCCUUCGGGUUGUAAACCGCUUUCGCCUGUGACGAAGCGUGAGUGACGGUAAUGGGUAAAGAAGCAACGGCUAACUACGUG
rnacentral:rRNA from 1 species